AUGCCUGCUCUAGUUGGCGCAGCGAUGUUGCUGCUGCUGUUGCUGCUGAGGGGCAGCAUAACACUGGCGGCAGCAGCAAGUUCCGUGAACAUCGCUUUGCCCGGCUGCAAGAGCAAAUGCGGCGAUGUGGACAUCCCCUACCCCUUCGGCACCACCCCCGUCUGCUACCGGCCUGGCUUCAUGGUCACCUGCAAUGAGACGCACAGCCCACCGAAGCUGUUCCUGGACAAUGGUGCCAGUCCCGGUCCUGGCCCUGAGGUUGUCGAGAUAUCUCUGGCGAACAGCACGGUGCGUGUCGGGAGCUGGGUUUCACACUUCGUCGCCGGCAACACGAGCCACGUGCAGCUGGCCUUCAGCCGCGGCUCCCCCUUCGUGCUGUCGGCCAAGGCGAACAGCCUCGUCAUCAUGGGGUGUGGCUUCCGUGUCCUCCUGCACAUCGUUGACGGGUGGACAUAUGGCUCCUGCGCGUCCUUCUGUCCGAUCAAUAACAGCACCGGCGAGCCGUUCUUGCCCGAUGUCGUGUGCAACGGCAUCGGCUGCUGCCAGCCGUCCAUUCCGAUUGGCCUUCGGUCCUGCCGUAUCGAGCUCUCCUCGCUCGACGGUGCUGGCAGGUGCCCGACCGCGCCGUCCCCGUCCCCAGCCCCGGCUCCAGCGUUCAACGCGAGCGUGCAUAUGGUGGAGCAGGAGUGGUGGAGUGACGGGUCACACGUCUAUGGUCUUCAGCAAUACUUCAUGGACCUCCUGUCUUACCCUGACAUGAGCCCGUUCUUCGUUCCUGCCAUUGCAGCCUGGGGGUUGGGCGAGUUAUCCUGCGAAGAGGCCGCCCGGAGGCCAGAUUUUGGGUGCCGCAGCAAGAACAGUGUGUGCCUCAACUCCACAAAUGGCGCCGAAGGCUAUGUCUGCCGGUGCAGUGAUGGCUACCAGGGCAAUCCAUACAUGACAAAUGGAUGCCAAGGAGGGCGAGGUCGUCUAGCAGCUGGAAUAAUUUUCUCCAUAGGAGUUGGCAGCGGCAUAAUUAUUUUGCUUCUAGUUCUUGCUGUCGCCUUUGCAAUAAAAAAGGUCAAGGAUCAGAAAGCAAAAAGGAUGAAGGAAUAUUUCUUCAAGCAAAACCGUGGGUUAUUGCUCCAGCAGUUAGUAGACACAGAUAUAGCUGAAAGGAUGAUUUUCAGCUUAGAAGAGCUUGAGACAGCAACUAAUAAAUUUGAUGAAGCUCGCAUUCUCGGUGGUGGAGGGCACGGCACAGUGUACAAAGGCAUUUUAUCAGACCAACAUGUCGUUGCUAUAAAGAAGUCCAAAACCGUAAUCAAAAGAGAGAUCGACGAGUUCAUAAAUGAAGUUGCCAUCCUUUCUCAAAUCAAUCACAGGAAUGUGGUAAAGCUGUUUGGUUGCUGUCUCGAGACAGAAGUUCCAUUGCUAAUCUACGAGUUCAUUUCGAAUGGUACCCUCUAUGCCCAUCUUCAUACUGAUGGUCCUCAAUCACUAUCAUGGAAAGACAGAUUACGAAUUGCAUUUGAAGUUGCAAGUUCUUUGGCCUAUCUUCACUCGGCUGCUUUGAUAUCAAUAAUCCACAGGGACAUCAAGACAUCUAACAUACUGCUAGAUGAUCGCUUGACGGCAAAAGUGUCAGACUUUGGCGCUUCUAGAGGUAUUGCAAUCGACCAAUCAGGGGUAACAACUGCCAUCCAAGGAACUUAUGGAUAUCUGGAUCCUGAGUACUACUACACAGGCCGACUGACGGAGAAGAGCGAUGUUUACAGCUUCGGUGUCAUGCUUGUGGAACUACUUACAAGAAAAAAACCAACCGGCUACGUGCCAUCAGAAGGCGUCAGUCUAGUAGCACACUUCAUGUUGCUGUUGAACCAAGAUAGACUGAGUGAAAUACUUACUAGAUUCACAGGUUUCCCAGGAGGCUGGGGACGAAGCCAAGGAAGUAGCGGCAAUCGCAGCAAUGUGCUUGGGGAUGAAGGGGGAAGACAGGCCGACCAUGCGGUACGUGGAAACGAAACUCCAGGGGCUGCAGAGUUUGGAGAACACCGUGAAGGCCGACCCAGAAAUGGAAGAAGUUCCGGUUAA
rnacentral:rRNA from 1 species